rnacentral:rRNA from 1 species
UACGUAGGGUGCAAGCGUUAAUCGGAAUUACUGGGCGUAAAGCGUGCGCAGGCGGCUUUGCAAGACAGAUGUGAAAUCCCCGGGCUUAACCUGGGAACUGCAUUUGUGACUGCAUGGCUGGAGUGCGGCAGAGGGGAUGGAAUUCCGGCGUGUAGCAGUGAAAUGCGUAGAGAUGCGGCGGAACACCGAUGGCGAAGGCAGCCCCCUGGGUCAAGAUUGACGCUCAUGCACGAAAGCGUGGGGAGCAAACAGG